UGGGGAAUUUUGGACAAUGGGCGCAAGCCUGAUCCAGCGACGCCGCGUGGAGGACGAAGGCCUUCGGGUUGUAAACUCCUUUUGGAGGGGAAGAAUAAAUUGACGGUACCCUCAGAAAAAGCCACGGCUAACUACGUGCCAGCAGCCGCGGUAAUACGUAGGUGGCGAGCGUUACUCGGAAUUACUAGGCGUAAAGCGUAUGUAGGUGGUUAGAUAAGUCUAUGGUGAAAUUUCCUGGCUUAACUGGGAAGGGACAUAGAUACUAUCUGGCUUGAGUGUGGGAGGGGGAGACGGAAUUCCUGGUGUAGCGGUGAAAUGCGUAGAUAUCAGGAGGAACACCGAUGGCGAAAGCAGUCUCCUGGCCCAAUACUGACACUGAGGUACGAAAGCUAGGGUAGCAAACA
rnacentral:rRNA from 1 species